GUCCACGCCCUAAACGAUGUCAACUGGUUGUUGGGAGGGUUUCUUCUCAGUAACGAAGCUAACGCGUGAAGUUGACCGCCUGGGGAGUACGGCCGCAAGGUUGAAACUCAAAGGAAUUGACGGGGACCCGGCACAAGCGGUGGAUGAUGUGGUUUAAAUUUCGAUGCAACGCGAAAAACCUUAACCUACCCUUGACAUGUCUGAAAUCCUGGAGAGAUUCGGGAGUGCUCGAAAGAGAAUCAGAACACAGGUGCUGCAUGGCCGUCGU
rnacentral:rRNA from 1 species